GCGGGGGUGGCAGAGCCAGGUUAAAUGCGCGAGGCUCAAGAUCAGCAAGAGAUGAGCCACCUCGUGGGCGUAGGCCCUACGUGGGUUCGAAUCCCACCCCCCGCA
rnacentral:tRNA from 1 species